AUACGAAGGGGGGCUAGCGUUGCUCGGAAUGACUGGGCGUAAAGGGCGUGUAGGCGGUUUACACAGUCAGAUGUGAAAUCCCCGGGCUUAGCCUGGGAGCUGCAUUUGAUACGUGUAGACUGGAGUGUGAGAGAGGGUUGUGGAAUUCCCAGUGUAGAGGUGAAAUUCGUAGAUAUUGGGAAGAACACCGGUGGCGAAGGCGGCAACCUGGCUCAUGACUGACGCUGAGGCGCGAAAGCGU
rnacentral:rRNA from 1 species